AGGACAGCGGCUCUGAAACGCCUCUGGGUUCCUUGGAGGCCAUUUGCACCCUCCACCCCUGCCCCCGGCACACAGGCUGCUGGAGUCCUUCCUCCCUGCAGAAGCCGCUAUCCGUCUCCUGUAAAUGCUGGCACGGAAGGCAGGCCAGAGAAAACUGAAGCAGGGGGACGGCAAGGGCAGGUGUGUCCUUAGGUGUGGCCAACCUGUGAGAGCCCCGAGCUGGGGACCCCCAGCACCAGGCUCCGGCCCGCUCCCCGUGGAGGGAGGAAGAAAUAACGGAAGAUCAUCAGGACGUGGGGAGCGGCUGGUACAGGGCCUGAAAAGAGCAGAGCCCCGCCAGGAUGGCGAGGCCUCAGGAACAGCGUUCUGGGGAGGUGGAGGCCCCCGUGAACCCACAGGCCGCUGGCCACCUCGGGAGCCACCUGGGGGAGCAUCUGCACAGCUGUCCCCCCUGCACACUCUUUCCUGGAAGCAGGGGUUAGGGAACAGCCGGUGCUCAGGACCCUAGCAGGCCCAGCGCCCGCAGUCAUCGGAUUGCUGUCUGGUUUGGUCCAUGACCCUUGGCGGCUCCAGGAGGACCAGCAGAGCGUGCUCCGCUCCCGCAUGGCACCCAAAGAGCGCAGACCGCCGGACUCAACGUCCCCUCCUUGAUUCCUUGCACGUGCAUCUAUUGAGCACCUGCUGUGUGCGCCCACGAGGUCUUGGGGAGGAGGUGGGAGGCCUGGCCAGUGGGGUGCGCAGGGCGCGAAACCUGGUGACCUCGGGAGGUGAGCCACCGUCACCACGGUCGGGACCACAGGUAAUGCUGGGCCGGGGGAGCGGGAGGCGGCCACUCUCCCCGCGCUGUUCCCCGCGGGGAAAGUGCGCCGGCGCGGACCCCUCCGGCCCUCGCCCCGCCUCCCCGCGCGAACCCCGAUCCCGCGCCCGCCCGCCCGCCCGUGCGCCGCAGACCUGCAGUGCCCCGCGCUCCGCCCGGCACGGCCCGCACGCGCCACCGGAAGCGCCCGGCAGGUCCCCUCAGGGCCGCCAUCGCCGCCGCCGCCGCCGCCGCC